UCUCCGAACGAAUAAAAAAAAGGAAGGUUCAAGUUUGAACAAGAAGAAGCAGUCGAAGGAGGGGAAGUUUAAAAAGAACAAAAGUAUGCAGGUGAUCAAUGCAGUGUCAGUGGUUCGAAUGGCAACGAGAGGCCUCAAUUCCCUAGAGGCAGAAAUAGCAUUUGGGACAGUCACUUGGUUCGUCUAUGCCGGGAUCUCAUGUUUUUUAGUUCUGUUCGCCGGAAUUAUGUCCGGAUUGACAUUAGGCCUCAUGUCUUUGGGCCUCGUUGAUCUCGAGAUACUUCAGCGAAGUGGCACCCCCGCUGAGAAAAAGCAAGCAGCUACAAUACUUCCCGUUGUUCAGAAGCAACACCAGCUUCUUGUGACCCUACUUCUAUGUAAUGCCGCUGCCAUGGAGGCCCUACCCAUAUACCUCGACAAAAUGUUCAACCAAUAUGUGGCCAUUAUACUAUCAGUAACUUUUGUCUUGGUGUUUGGAGAGGUUAUUCCUCAAGCAAUAUGUACCAGGUAUGGACUUGCGGUGGGUGCAAACUUUGUUUGGCUUGUUCGUGUUCUGAUGGUCAUAUGCUACCCAAUUGCAUACCCCAUAGGGAAGAUCCUAGACUGCGUACUAGGACAUAAUGAAGUACUAUUUAGACGAGCUCAGUUAAAAGCUCUUGUUUCUAUCCACAGUCAAGAGGCCGGCAAGGGAGGUGAACUUACACAUGAUGAAACAACAAUCAUUAGUGGAGCAUUAGAUUUAACUGAGAAGACUGCUAAGGAGGCCAUGACACCCAUUGAGUCAACAUUUUCUUUGGAUGUCAAUUCAAAGCUGGACUGGGAAGCAAUGGGUAAAAUUCUUGCUCGAGGUCAUAGCCGAGUUCCAGUCUACUCAGGCAGUCCGAAGAAUAUUAUUGGACUUUUACUGGUAAAAAGUCUUCUUACUGUUCGCGCGGAAACCGAGACACCAGUUAGUGCUGUUUCUAUCCGCAGAAUUCCGCGAGUUCCAGCUGAUAUGCCACUAUAUGACAUACUAAACGAGUUCCAAAAGGGUAGCAGUCAUAUGGCUGCAGUAGUGAAGCUUAAAGGGAAAACCAAAAAACCUCCAUUGGUAGUUGAGGAAGAGAAAUCUGACGACAGUGCAGUCACCAAUGGACAUCCUAGUGUAACUACCUCUCUUUUGAUGGCAAAGGAUGAAAAGUCAGAUAGUGUCGUCGUUGAUAUUGAGAAGGCUACAGUACCGGCAGUGCAGUCAUCUGGUGAUGCUCUGAUAAAUGGAUCGCAUCAGUCGUCAGAUGAUAUUGAGGAUGCUGAAGUAAUAGGUAUUAUCACUUUGGAAGAUGUUUUUGAAGAACUUUUACAGGAGGAAAUAGUAGACGAGACUGACGAGUAUGUUGAUGUACAUAAGAGGAUACGUGUGGCUGCAGCAGCAGCAGCUUCAUCAGUGGCACGAGCUCCAUCAAUUCGGAGGUUAACAGCCCAAAAGGGAGUCGGAGGGCAAAGCAAGCAAGGACAAAACCCCAAAAAGUUUAGCGAGGACAUUUCCAACUCAAGAAGGACGCAAGGGAGUCUUGGAGAGCCUCUUCUUGGGAACAAGAGAUAAAGAGUCGUAGUUUGGUAGCCUCAGAGCCUCAGUAAUGUUGAGAGGGCAAGGAACAAGUCUCACUGCAAGCUGAUACAUAGUUUUAAAAUUAGGUUGACAUCCAUCAUAAUAUUAAACAAGUUGUCAAAAAAGUUCUUCUUAAUAUGCAUGACAUCAAGAUUAUGCCGAAGAAGAUUGUACUUCCAAUAAGGAGACAAGACGGACGGUGGCUCCUCAUAAUCAAUUUUGUUCUUCGUAAAUGCACUAGUAUUUCUCUUGAACUCAUGAUCCAUUGGCAAGAAGUAUCGAUGACAGUCAAACCAUGUGUUUUUAACUCCAUGUUUCAAAGUGAAUGCCUUUAUAUCUUCCAUACAAGUCGGACAAGCUAAUUUUUCGGCAGUUGACCACCCGGACAUCAUUCCAUAAGCAAGAAAAUCAUUUAUAGUCCACAUCAAAGCAGCACGCAAUAUGAAGUUUUGCUUAGUUAAUACAUCAUAUGUUUCCACACCUUCAUGCUACAACAACUUCAACUCAUCAAUCAAAGGCUGCAUGUAAGCAAUUAACAUUUUUGGAUUGCGUGGACCUGGAACAAUACAAGUUAGAAGCAAAUAUGGACUUGUCAUAUAUAACUCGGGUGGAAGAUUAUACGGCGUAGCAAACACCGUCCAACAUGAAUAUGAUGCAACAGAGACUGCAAAUGGAGUGAAUCCAUCAGCGCAUAAUCCCAACCUAAUGUUUCUUGGUUCAUUAGUAAAGUCCAGGGACACCCUAUCAAAUGCUUUCAUGCUUCUCCAUUUGAUGGAUGACAUAGAACACCAUAUGUCCUUCUAUGCUCAUAGUGUCAUCUCAUAUGGGGAGCGGAGCUCAUUGAUGCGCACAACCUCUUUUACCUUGGUAUACGGGGUAAGUAGUGCAUCGCCUUCACUGGGAUCUUCUUCUUUUUAUCAUUUAUGACAUCCUUGUAACGAG